AUACGGAGGAUGCGAGCGUUAUCCGGAUUUAUUGGGUUUAAAGGGAGCGUAGGUGGACAGUUAAGUCAGUUGUGAAAGUUUGCGGCUCAACCGUAAAAUUGCAGUUGAUACUGGCUGUCUUGAGUACAGUAGAGGUGGGCGGAAUUCGUGGUGUAGCGGUGAAAUGCUUAGAUAUCACGAAGAACUCCGAUUGCGAAGGCAGCUCACUGGACUGCAACUGACACUGAUGCUCGAAAGUGUGGGUAUCAAACAGGAUUAGAUACCCUGGUAGUCCACACAGUAAACGAUGAAUACUCGCUGUUUGCGAUAUACAGUAAGCGGCCAAGCGAAAGCAUUAAGUAUUCCACCUGGGGAGUACGCCGGCAACGGUGAAACUUAAAGGAAUUGACGGGG
rnacentral:rRNA from 1 species